AUGGUAGAAGCCUCAGCUCCGACAAUUUCUGCCUUCAAACUCCACGAUCUCGUCUCCGGUUCGUUGCUUCUAUUCUCUUUCUUAUGCCGCUGUUCGUUUCACUUCACUACGAUCCGUAUCAAGCUUCCACGCCCAGACUCGCUCAUUCUGCCUAAACAACAAGAUUUCGUCCUCCCCUGUUCACGGUUUCGACUUAUGGAGCCAUAA